GUCGAGCGGCGGACGGGUGAGUAAUGCCUGGGAAAUUGCCCUGAUGUGGGGGAUAACCAUUGGAAACGAUGGCUAAUACCGCAUAAUAGCUUCGGCUCAAAGAGGGGGACCUUCGGGCCUCUCGCGUCAGGAUAUGCCCAGGUGGGAUUAGCUAGUUGGUGAGGUAAUGGCUCACCAAGGCGACGAUCCCUAGCUGGUCUGAGAGGAUGAUCAGCCACACUGGAACUGAGACACGGUCCAGACUCCUACGGGAGGCAGCAGUGGGGAAUAUUGCACAAUGGGCGCAAGCCUGAUGCAGCCAUGCCGCGUGUAUGAAGAAGGCCUUCGGGUUGUAAAGUACUUUCAGCAGUGAGGAAGGUGGAUGUGUUAAUAGCGCAUUCAUUUGACGUUAGCUGCAGAAGAAGCACCGGCUAACUCCGUGCCAGCAGCCGCGGUAAUACGGAGGGUGCGAGCGUUAAUCGGAAUUACUGGGCGUAAAGCGCAUGCAGGUGGUUUGUUAAGUCAGAUGUGAAAGCCCGGGGCUCAACCUCGGAAUUGCAUUUGAAACUGGCAGACUAGAGUACUGUAGAGGGGGGUAGAAUUUCAGGUGUAGCGGUGAAAUGCGUAGAGAUCUGAAGGAAUACCGGUGGCGAAGGCGGCCCCCUGGACAGAUACUGACACUCAGAUGCGAAAGCGUGGGGAGCAAACAGGAUUAGAUACCCUGGUAGUCCACGCCGUAAACGAUGUCUACUUGGAGGUUGUGGCCUUGAGCCGUGGCUUUCGGAGCUAACGCGUUAAGUAGACCGCCUGGGGAGUACGGUCGCAAGAUUAAAACUCAAAUGAAUUGACGGGGGCCCGCACAAGCGGUGGAGCAUGUGGUUUAAUUCGAUGCAACGCGAAGAACCUUACCUACUCUUGACAUCCAGAGAACUUUCCAGAGAUGGAUUGGUGCCUUCGGGAACUCUGAGACAGGUGCUGCAUGGCUGUCGUCAGCUCGUGUUGUGAAAUGUUGGGUUAAGUCCCGCAACGAGCGCAACCCUUAUCCUUGUUUGCCAGCGAGUAAUGUCGGGAACUCCAGGGAGACUGCCGGUGAUAAACCGGAGGAAGGUGGGGACGACGUCAAGUCAUCAUGGCCCUUACGAGUAGGGCUACACACGUGCUACAAUGGCGCAUACAGAGGGCGGCCAACUUGCGAAAGUGAGCGAAUCCCAAAAAGUGCGUCGUAGUCCGGAUUGGAGUCUGCAACUCGACUCCAUGAAGUCGGAAUCGCUAGUAAUCGUAGAUCAGAAUGCUACGGUGAAUACGUUCCCGGGCCUUGUACACACCGCCCGUCACACCAUGGGAGUGGGCUGCAAAAGAAGUGGGUAGUUUAACCUUCGGGGGGACGCU
rnacentral:rRNA from 1 species